rnacentral:rRNA from 1 species
CCGAGUUGUAAUUUAGAGAAGCGUCUUCCGCGCUGGACCGUGCACAAGUCUCCUGGAAUGGAGCGUCAUAGAGGGUGAGAAUCCCGUCUUUGGCAUGGAUCCCAGGGCUUCUGUGAUGCGCUCUCGACGAGUCGAGUUGUUUGGGAAUGCAGCUCAAAAUGGGUGGUGAACUCCAUCUAAAGCUAAAUAUUGGCGAGAGACCGAUAGCGAACAAGUACCGUGAGGGAAAGAUGAAAAGCACUUUGGAAAGAGAGUGAAACAGUACGUGAAAUUGUUGAAAGGGAAACGCUUGAAGUCAGUCGCGUUGACCGAGACUCAACCUUGCUUUGGCUUGGUGUAUUUCUCGGCUGACGGGUCAGCAUCAAUUUUGACCCUCAGAUAAUGGCAAGGGAAAGGUGGCACCUUUUAGGUGUGUUAUAGUCCCAUGUCGCAUGUGAGGGUUGGGAUUGAGGAACUCAGCAUGCACCUCUGGGUGUCGGGGCUUUGGCCCACGUUACAUGCUUAGGAUGCUGGCGUAAUGGCUUUAAAC